rnacentral:lncRNA from 13 species
AUAAUAAUUGAAAGACUGAUUUGAUAUAGUUCAAAUAAUGGUUCACCAAAUACAAACAAAUUCAGUAUACACUUCCUAACUAGAGGCACACGCAUACCAUUAGACCAUUAAAAUCCUUGUAAUAAGCUGUCAUAACAUCUGUCAUAACAUAGUUAUAACAUCCUCAUAAUAUAUCACUGUGAUGCAUUAUAAUACCAAAGUGCAUCAUCGGGGCUGGACCUAGUCACUAAGCGACGUAAUUAUAAAAGUCAAUCAGGGUCUCUACUUAACGUUGAGUUAGAAUAGUAGAAUACACCUGGUGCAAUUUCUACAUUUGGUUGUACAUCAGCAGAUUUCCCUCUCAUGUCAGUCUGUAACUAUGUUUCCCUCAUGUCAGUCUGUAACCAUCAUGUCAGUCUGUAACCAUGUUUCCCUCUCAUGUCAGUCUGUAACCAUCAUGUCAGUCUGUAACCAUGUUUCCCUCUCAUGUCAGUCUGUAACCAUGUUUCCCUCUCAUGUCAGUCUGUAA